rnacentral:lncRNA from 1 species
GGCAAAUUGCUAAUAUUAUACAUUGUUGAAACUAGGGAAAAAUUUCCAUGUUACUAUUUGCUAUUUUAAUUUUCUUUAAAUAAGUAACAUGUAAUUUUUCAUUUUUGACAUGUUUUGAUGAUGCGAUGACAUUAUCUAUACUAAACUGAUUGACACACAAUAAGAGUCAGAUACACAAGAGAAAUAGAUAGGAAAAUUUCCCCCUACAAAUGCUUUCCUACAUGUUAUUUUCAAAUCGCACACAUGAACACAAGUGGUAAUUAAGGCAAAAUGACAUAUCUAUUUGAUUUGAAUUUGGCAUUGCAAAGAGAUUUGAUAGAUUUAAACUAAAGGAAAUUAUAUAAACUUUAAUAAUAAAAAUCUAUCAUGUUUUGCUCAUCUGACUUCAACGUAGGCUGUUCCAUUAAACAAACAUAACAGCCGG